UCCCAGCCAAGUGCCUGUUGGUAGGAAUCCGCUUGGCCUCGGGUCUGAGGGGGCUUGUAGGUGGCUGUGGCUGCGACUGAAGCAGGGGUCCAGGAGAGUCCACAAGAAAGAAAGCGCCAUGGACGAUCAGGGCUGUCCCCGGUGUAAGACCACCAAAUACCGGAACCCUUCGUUGAAGCUGAUGGUGAAUGUGUGCGGACACACUCUGUGUGAAAGUUGCGUGGAUUUACUCUUUGUGAGAGGAGCUGGAAACUGUCCUGAGUGUGGCACUCCACUUAGAAAGAGCAACUUCAGGGUACAACUCUUUGAAGAUCCUACUGUUGACAAGGAAGUUGAGAUUCGGAAAAAAGUGCUAAAGAUAUACAAUAAAAGGGAAGAAGACUUUCCUAGUCUACGAGAAUAUAAUGAUUUCCUGGAAGAAGUGGAAGAAAUUGUUUUCAACUUGACCAACAAUGUGGAUUUGGACAACACCAAAAAGAAAAUGGAGAUAUACCAAAAGGAAAACAAAGAUGUCAUUCAGAAAAAUAAGUUAAAGCUGACUCGGGAACAGGAGGAACUGGAAGAAGCUUUAGAGGUAGAACGACAGGAAAAUGAACAAAGAAGACUAUUUAUACAAAAAGAAGAACAACUGCAGCAGAUUCUAAAAAGGAAGAAUAAGCAGGCUUUUUUAGAUGAACUGGAGAGUUCUGAUCUCCCCGUUGCUCUACUUUUGGCUCAGCAUAAAGAUAGAUCUACCCAACUGGAAAUGCAGCUUGAGAAACCUAAACCUAUAAAACCAGUGACAUUUUCCACAGGCAUCAAAAUGGGUCAACAUAUUUCAUUACCACCCAUUCAAAAGCUUGAAGAAGCUCUAUAUGAAUACCAACCACUGCAAAUAGAGACUUGUGGACCACAAGUCCCUGAGCUUGAGAUGCUAGGAAGACUUGGCUACUGAGCCCGCGAGCCACAACUACUGAAGCCCAUGCGCCUAGAGCCCGUGAUCCGCAACAAGAGAAGCCACUGCAAUGAGAAGCCUGUGCACCGCAAUGAAGAGUAGCCCCCGCUCGCCGCAACUAGAGAAGGCCCACUCACAGCAACGAAGACCCAACACAGCCAAAAAUAAAUAAAUAAGUAAAUAAGUCUUAGUUGCAACAGGUGGGCUCCCCAGCUGUGGCAUGUGAACUCCUAGUUGCAACAUGCAUGUGGGAUCCAGUUCCCUGACCAGGGAUCGAACCGGGGCCCCCUGCAUUGGGAAUGCAGAGUCUUAACCACUGUGCCAUAAGGGAAGUCCCGUAAGGGAUUGAAUUCUACACAGACAGUUUCAUUUUGGGAGCCAGGAUGAAUUAGCUCAGGUGGUCUCUUUGGUGACAUGUUAUGACUUCAUACUUAAACAUUUGCCAAAAUAAAUCCUAAAUUGAUUUCUUACUUUACUAGUUCAUUUUCU